UUAAAUUUUAUCCCGUGACUAUCCAGAUCUCCCAGUUCGAGCGCGACUUGAAUGGAGUGCUUGCACUCCUGAUGGUUAGAGGCGGACGGGUGAGUAACACGUAGGUAACCUGCCCAUAACACUGGGAUAACCCACGGAAACGUGAGCUAAUACCAGAUAGGCAUUUUCCUCGCAUGAGGGAAAUGAGAAAGGCGGAGCAAUCUGUCACUUAUGGAUGGACCUGCGGCGCAUUAGCUAGUUGGUAAGGUAACGGCUUACCAAGGCGACGAUGCGUAGCCGACCUGAGAGGGUGAUCGGCCACACUGGGACUGAGACACGGCCCAGACUCCUACGGGAGGCAGCAGUAGGGAAUCUUCCGCAAUGGACGAAAGUCUGACGGAGCAACGCCGCGUGAGUGAUGAAGGUUUUCGGAUCGUAAAGCUCUGUUGCCAGGGAAGAACGCCUAGGAGAGUAACUGCUCCUAGGGUGACGGUACCUGAGAAGAAAGCCCCGGCUAACUACGUGCCAGCAGCCGCGGUAAUACGUAGGGGGCGAGCGUUGUCCGGAAUUAUUGGGCGUAAAGCGCGCGCAGGCGGCAAUGUAAGUUGGGUGUUUAAACCUAGGGCUCAACCUUGGGUCGCAUCCAAAACUGCAUAGCUUGAGUACAGAAGAGGAAAGUGGAAUUCCACGUGUAGCGGUGAAAUGCGUAGAGAUGUGGAGGAACACCAGUGGCGAAGGCGACUUUCUGGGGCUGUAACUGACGCUGGAGGCGCGAAAGCGUUGGGGGAGGCCAAACAGUGAUUUAGAUACCCCUGGUAGUUCCCCCCCGUAAACGAUGAAUGCUAGGUGUUUAGGGGGUUUCGAUACCCCUUGGUGCCGAAGGUUAACACAUUAAGCAUUCCGCCUGGGGGAGUACGGUCGCAAGACUGAAACUCAAAGGAAUUGACGGGGACCCGCACAAGCAGUGGAGUAUGUGGUUUAAUUCGAAGCAACGCGAAGAACCUUACCAGGUCUUGACAUCUGAAUGACCGUCCUAGAGAUAGGGCUUUCCUUCGGGACAUUCAAGACAGGUGGUGCAUGGUUGUCGUCAGCUCGUAUCGAGAGAUGUUGGGUUAAGUCCCGCAACGAGCGCAACCCUUAACUUUAGUUGCCAGCAUUGAGUUGGGCACUCUAGAGUGACUGCCGGUGACAAACCGGAGGAAGGUGGGGAUGACGUCAAAUCAUCAUGCCCCUUAUGACCUGGGCUACACACGUACUACAAUGGCUGGUACAACGGGAAGCGAAGCCGCGAGGUGGAGCCAAUCCUAAAAAGCCAGUCUCAGUUCGGGGGGCAGGCUGCAACUCGCCUGCAUGAAGUCGGAAUGGCUAGUAAUCGCGGAUCAGCAUGCCGCGGUGAUUUCUUUCCCGGGUCUUGUUCACACCGUCCGUCACCCCUUUUUUUUUUACAUCUCCCGAAGUCGGUGACGUAACCGCAAGGAGCCAACCGGAGAUUUUGUUGGUCUAGUUUAAAUUA
rnacentral:rRNA from 1 species